UGUGGGUCGAAUGGAACUUAAGUUAUGCUCCGGAAACCGUUUUCAGUUUUAAGGUAAUAGUGACCUUGACCUUUGACCUUUUGACCCCAAAAUCAAUAGGGGUCUUCUACCCAAUAUGGACAAUCAUCCUAUGAAGUUUUAACAUUGUGGGCCAAAUGGAACUUAAGUUAUGCUCCGGAAACCAAAUUGCUAACGGACGGACGGACGUACGGACGGACGGACGGACGGACAGACAGACGGACGCCAGGGGGUAUAACAUAAUAUGCCCUUUCGGGCAUAUAAUAAUAAUAAAA